GGGAUCUCAGCAAGGUAUAGAGGCACAUUUGUUUGAUCUAAUUAAGCCCGUUUGGACUCUGGCGCUCCACGCGCUGGAUGAAUAGUGGCGUUUGGAGGAAGUGCGGCUGCGCAGUCCGUCACUGAACACCGUCACUGCCUGGACCUCUUUCUGGGUCCUAGUGCCCUAAAGGUUACAGCUCCUGGUUCCACAAGAAAAAAGUCCAUUCUAGAGGCCACUCUGACGUCAUCAUCAUCAAAGACAGCGUUACCUAGCAACCAUACCAAGACCAUAGCAGCUAUAGAGGGAAACACAACAAACCAUCAACGGCGGUUAAAGCAGUCAGACGUUUGUUCUGCAGCUCAGCAAAAAUCUCUGCUUUAGGUUUUGGGGAGAAAAACAAAGGAAAACACACGGAGAAGGAUUCUGCAAAGGAAAUCCCAAGUUCUAUUGUUCCAGCUUGGUGAGUGUGCAGGUCGCCAUGGCAACCACUGUCCAGGUCAAAGGGAGGACCACGGCCAUCCAGUCUCCAGGCUUUAGGAUUGAUUUGGAUUUGUUAAACAUUUGUUUCCCACAUUUUAAUAGUAGAAUUCAACACGGGACAUAUAGUGGAUUGUAAGAAUAGGAACAAAAACAGCAACAACAAAAUAAUCCUCCUCCCCUUAAAACAUGCAUUUGACUCUGAACAAGUCUAAAACAAAUCCAAGCAAAGACCAGCGCUGGGGCUCCUGCUAGUUUCUUUUAGAAGAGCCUGCCUCUUCAAAACAUAGAAUGUUCAACAACUAGAGCUAAAAAUGUCUGUUGGUAGAUUUCUGGAUGUUGGCCGUAUCCCAGCGAGCAAGGCCAAGUCAGCCCCAUAUGGUUUCAAAGUGGACAGAAAAGGUUUUUAGGAGUUUCUAGAAUGUUCAACAACUAGAGCUAAAUGAAACUAGUGCAUGAAAUGACAAAGAACUUCCUGUUUGAAAGGAAUCUCAUGAUGGCUUCCACCUGUCUCUUUACUUUUCCUUCUUUUUUGGGUUUCUCCUCUUUGGGAGGUUACACAAAACUGCACUUUAACCCAGAAGGAAACAACAACCGUUCCACAAUCCCUGAAUCCCCUACAGCCUUUAUCUAAACAUUUACAUUGACCAUUAUCACACAUUUGAUUGCAUUUUCUCAG